rnacentral:rRNA from 1 species
CCUACGGGAGGCUGCAGUGAGGAAUAUUGGUCAAUGGGCGUAAGCCUGAACCAGCCAAGUCGCGUGAGGGAUGAAGGUUCUAUGGAUCGUAAACCUCUUUUAUAAGGGAAUAAAGUGCGGGACGUGUCCCGUUUUGUAUGUACCUUAUGAAUUAGGAUCGGCUUACUCCGUUCCAGCAGCCGCGGUAAUACGGAGGAUCCGAGCGUUUUCCGGAUUUUUUGGGUUUAAAGGGUGGGUAGGCGGCCUUUUAAGUCCAGGGGGAAAGUCUGUGGCUCAACCAUAGAAUUGCCGUUGAAACUGGGGGGCUUGAGUAUGUUUGAGGCAGGCGGAAUGCGUGGUGUAGCGGUGAAAUGCUUAGAUAUCACGCAGAACCCCGAUUGCGAAGGCAGCCUGCCAAGCCAUGACUGACGCUGAUGCACGAAAGCGUGGGGAUCAAACAGGAUUAGAUACCCGAGUAGUC